rnacentral:rRNA from 1 species
GAUGAACGCUGGCGGCGUGCCUAAUACAUGCAAGUCGAGCGAAUGGAUUAAGAGCUUGCUCUUAUGAAGUUAGCGGCGGACGGGUGAGUAACACGUGGGUAACCUGCCCAUAAGACUGGGAUAACUCCGGGAAACCGGGGCUAAUACCGGAUAACAUUUUGAACCGCAUGGUUCGAAAUUGAAAGGCGGCUUCGGCUGUCACUUAUGGAUGGACCCGCGUCGCAUUAGCUAGUUGGUGAGGUAACGGCUCACCAAGGCAACGAUGCGUAGCCGACCUGAGAGGGUGAUCGGCCACACUGGGACUGAGACACGGCCCAGACUCCUACGGGAGGCAGCAGUAGGGAAUCUUCCGCAAUGGACGAAAGUCUGACGGAGCGACGCCGCGUGAGUGAUGAAGGCUUUCGGGUCGUAAAACUCUGUUGUUAGGGAAGAACAAGUGCUAGUUGAAUAAGCUGGCACCUUGAUGGUACCUAACCAGAAAGCCACGGCUAACUACGUGCCAGCAGCCGCGGUAA